UACGGAGGGGACUAGCGUUGUUCGGAAUUACUGGGCGUAAAGCGCACGUAGGCGGCUUUGUAAGUCAGAGGUGAAAGCCUGGAGCUCAACUCCAGAACUGCCUUUGAGACUGCAUCGCUUGAAUCCAGGAGAGGUGAGUGGAAUUCCGAGUGUAGAGGUGAAAUUCGUAGAUAUUCGGAAGAACACCAGUGGCGAAGGCGGCUCACUGGAGCUGGUAUUGACGCUGAGGUGCGAAAGCUAGGGGAGCAAACGGG
rnacentral:rRNA from 1 species